rnacentral:rRNA from 1 species
UGCAAGUCGAACGGUAACAUAAGAGCUUGCUCUUGAUGACGAGUGGCGGACGGCCGUUUUAAACGUAUACAAUCUACCUUUAACUGAGGAAUAGCCCCUAUAAAUUUGGAUUAAUACCUCAUAGUAUUAUUUUAAGGCAUCUUAUUAUAAUUAAAACUCCGGUGGUUAAAGAUGAGUAUGCGUUCUAUUAGUUUGUUGGUGAGGUAACGGCUCACCAAGACUACGAUAGAUAGGGGGCCUGAGAGGGUGAUCCCCCACACUGGUACUGAGACACGGACCAGACUCCUACGGGAGGCAGCAGUGAGGAAUAUUGCGCAAUGGAGGAAACUCUGACGCAGCCAUACCGCGUGUAGGAAGAAUGUCCUAUGGAUUGUAAACUACUUUUAUACAAGAAGAAACCCCAGUACGUGUACUGGGCUGACGGUAUUGUAAGAAUAAGCACCGGCUAACUCCGUGUCAGCAGCCGCGGUAAUACGGAGGGUGCAAGCGUUAUCCGGAUUUAUUGGGUUUAAAGGGUCCGCAGGCGGGAUUCUAAGUCAGUGGUGAAAGCCUACAGCUUAACUGUAGAACUGCCAUUGAAACUGGAAUUCUUGAGUGUGGUUGAAGUAGACGGAAUAUGUCAUGUAGCGGUGAAAUGCAUAGAUAUGACAUAGAACACCAAUUGCGUAGGCAGUUUACUAAACCAUUACUGACGCUCAUGGACGAAAGUGUGGGGAGCGAACAGGAUUAGAUACCCUGGUAGUCCACACCGUAAACUAUGAUCACUAGAUGUUGGCGAUAUACAGUCAGUGUCUUAGAGAAAUCGUUAAGUGAUCCACCUGGGGAGUACGUUCGCAAGAAUGAAACUCA